GCUUCUCCCAUCUUGGGGAGCAGGUGGCUGGACAGGAAUCGGGAAAAUCCAGUCUCAGCCAACAGUUACAGUUAAAUAAGUAAAUACGAAAAAGAAAAGUAAGUGGGGUGGGCUUUCCUUCCAUCACCUGUAUUACUCCCUGUAAAAGGCCUCAAAAGCAAUCUUUGCUUUUUUUUUCCGUUAGAAAAGAAAAGUGUCUGUGGGGCUCAAGUUUGAGUUGAAACCAGGCUCAGGGUCCACCUGUCCUCGCUGAUCCGUGGAUUUCUGUGUGACCAGCUGACACCUAUGGAGCUGUGGCCCUGACUACUACCAGUAUCCCGUAUGUCUGUCCAGUGUUCUGCCCGUCCAUCUGUCUCUCCUCUGUGUUCAGUCUCUCUUGUUCACCUAUCUCACUCUCUUGGGCUCCUCUCAUCCACAGGCUUGCUCAUCCCUCUAC